rfam:Rattus norvegicus chromosome 1, whole genome shotgun sequence.
GGGGAUUAGGCUCAGUGGUAGAGCGCUUGCCUAGGAAGCGCAAGGCCCUGGGUUCGGUCCCCAGCCCCG